rnacentral:rRNA from 1 species
GACGAACGCUGGCGGCGUGCUUAACACAUGCAAGUCGAACGGGCCCGCCCCUGUUUUUGGGGGUGGGUUGAGUGGCGAACGGGUGAGUAUCACGUGAGUAACCUGCCCCCUGCUCCUGGAUAACUGCUUGAAAGGGCGGCUAAUACGGGGUGUGCCGGCUGGUCCGCAUGGGCCUGGUCGGGAUAGUUUCAUCUUCGGGUGUUUCGGUGGGGGAUGGGCUCGCGGCCUAUCAGCUUGUUGGUGGGGUGAUGGCCCACCAAGGCGGUGACGGGUAGCCGGCCUGAGAGGGUGGGCGGCCACACUGGUCUGAGACACGGCCCAGACUCCUGCGGGAGGCAGCAGUGGGGGGUAUUGCGCAAUGGGCGGAAGCCUGAUGCAGCGACGUCGCGUGAGGGAUGGAGGCCUUCGGGUUGGGAACCUCUUUCUCCGGUGGUGAAGGCCCUGUCCGUUGCGGCGGGGUUGACGGUAGCCGGGGAUGAAGCGCCGGCUAACUACGUG